rnacentral:rRNA from 1 species
AUGUGGCACCUGCUCCUAGAAUGCCCGUUUACGCGGCAGGUUUGGUACGACGUGCUGGCUUGGGCGAGGAUACCUUCUCAACCGCCAAGCAAUGAACCCAGCCUCACGGAUUGGUGGCAAGGAACGAAAGGGCAGACCCCACAGGCGCUACGGAAAGGCCUGCAAUCCAUCGCCAUGCUCGUUCCUUGGAUGAUCUGGAAACAGCGAAACGAGUGCGUCUUCGAGAAUGCACGCCCCUCUGUUACCGCACUCGUAGAUAGGAUUAAGGCCGAACCCAAAUGUUGGGCACAAGCUGGCGCUUUGGGUCUCAGGGUAGUCCUCCCCACUAACUGGGAUGUCCACUGA